rnacentral:rRNA from 1 species
UACGAAGGGGGCUAGCGUUGCUCGGAAUUACUGGGCGUAAAGGGCGCGUAGGCGGGAUGGCAAGUCAGUCGUGAAAUCUCUCGGCUCAACCGAGAAACGUCGGCUGAUACUGCCGUUCUUGAGGGAUGCAGAGGAGACUGGAAUUCCCGGUGUAGCGGUGAAAUGUGUAGAGAUCGGGAGGAACACCGGUGGCGAAGGCGGGUCUCUGGGCAUCUCCUGACGCUGAGGCGCGAAAGCGUGGGGAGCAAACGGG